GCCUGGGUGGCUCAGUCGGUUGAGCGUCCGACUUCGGCUCAGGUCAUGAUCUCAUGGCUCAUGAGUUCAAGCCCCAUGUCAGGCU
rnacentral:tRNA from 1 species